GACGAACGCUGGCGGCGUGCUUAACACGUGCAAGUCGAACGGAAAGGCCCUGCUUUUGUGGGGUGCUCGAGUGGCGAACGGGUGAGUAACACGUGAGUAACCUGCCCUUGACUUUGGGAUAACUUCAGGAAACUGGGGCUAAUACCGGAUAGGAGCUCCUGCUGCAUGGUGGGGGUUGGAAAGUUUCGGCGGUUGGGGAUGGACUCGCGGCUUAUCAGCUUGUUGGUGGGGUAGUGGCUUACCAAGGCUUUGACGGGUAGCCGGCCUGAGAGGGUGACCGGCCACAUUGGGACUGAGAUACGGCCCAGACUCCUACGGGAGGCAGCAGUGGGGAAUAUUGCACAAUGGGCGGAAGCCUGAUGCAGCAACGCCGCGUGCGGGAUGACGGCCUUCGGGUUGUAAACCGCUUUCGCCUGUGACGAAGCGUGAGUGACGGUAAUGGGUAAAGAAGCACCGGCUAACUACGUGCCAGCAGCCGCGGUGAUACGUAGGGUGCGAGCGUUGUCCGGAUUUAUUGGGCGUAAAGGGCUCGUAGGUGGUUGAUCGCGUCGGAAGUGUAAUCUUGGGGCUUAACCCUGAGCGUGCUUUCGAUACGGGUUGACUUGAGGAAGGUAGGGGAGAAUGGAAUUCCUGGUGGAGCGGUGGAAUGCGCAGAUAUCAGGAGGAACACCAGUGGCGAAGGCGGUUCUCUGGGCCUUUCCUGACGCUGAGGAGCGAAAGCGUGGGGAGCGAACAGGCUUAGAUACCCUGGUAGUCCACGCUGUAAACGGUGGGUACUAGGUGUGGGGUCCAUUCCACGGGUUCCGUGCCGUAGCUAACGCUUUAAGUACCCCGCCUGGGGAGUACGGCCGCAAGGCUAAAACUCUAAGGAAUUGACGGGGCCCCGCACAAGCGGCGGAGCAUGCGGAUUAAUUCGAUGCAACGCGUAGAACCUUACCUGGGUUUGACAUGGAUCGGGAGUGCUCAGAGAUGGGUGUGCCUCUUUUGGGGUCGGUUCACAGGUGGUGCAUGGCUGUCGUCAGCUCGUGUCGUGAGAUGUUGGGUUAAGUCCCGCAACGAGCGCAACCCUUGUUCACUGUUGCCAGCACGUUAUGGUGGGGACUCAGUGGAGACCGCCGGGGUCAACUCGGAGGAAGGUGGGGAUGACGUCAAGUCAUCAUGCCCCUUAUGUCCAGGGCUUCACGCAUGCUACAAUGGCUGGUACAGAGAGUGGCGAGCCUGUGAGGGUGAGCGAAUCUCGGAAAGCCGGUCUCAGUUCGGAUUGGGGUCUGCAACUCGACCUCAUGAAGUCGGAGUCGCUAGUAAUCGCAGAUCAGCAACGCUGCGGUGAAUACGUUCCCGGGGCU
rnacentral:rRNA from 1 species